GACGAACGCUGGCGGCGUGCUUAACACAUGCAAGUCGAACGAUGAACUUGGAGCUUGCUCUGGGGGAUUAGUGGCGAACGGGUGAGUAACACGUGAGUAACCUGCCCUGGACUCUGGGAUAACUUCGAGAAGUCGGAGCUAAUACCGGAUAGGACCUUGCACCGCACGGUGUGGGGUGGAAAGUUUUUCGGUUUGGGAUGGACUCGCGGCCUAUCAGCUUGUUGGGGAGGUAAUGGCCCACCAAGGCGUCGACGGGUAGCCGGCCUGAGAGGGUGACCGGCCACACCGGGACUGAGACACGGCCCAGACUCCUACGGGAGGCAGCAGUGGGGAAUAUUGCACAAUGGGCGCAAGCCUGAUGCAGCAACGCCGCGUGCGGGAUGACGGCCUUCGGGUUGUAAACCGCUUUUAGUAGGGAAGAAGCCUUCGGGUGACGGUACCUGCAGAAAAAGGACCGGCUAACUACGUGCCAGCCGCCGCGGUAAGAC
rnacentral:rRNA from 1 species